rnacentral:rRNA from 1 species
AUUGAACGCUGGCGGCAUGCCUUACACAUGCAAGUCGAACGGCAGCGGACCUUCGGGUGCCGGCGAGUGGCGAACGGGUGAGUAAUAUAUCGGAACGUACCUUUCAGUGGGGGAUAACGUAGCGAAAGUUACGCUAAUACCGCAUAUUCUGUGAGCAGGAAAGCAGGGGAUCGCAAGACCUUGCGCUGAUUGAGCGGCCGAUAUCAGAUUAGCUAGUUGGUGAGGUAAAGGCUCACCAAGGCGACGAUCUGUAGCGGGUCUGAGAGGAUGAUCCGCCACACUGGAACUGAGACACGGUCCAGACUCCUACGGGAGGCAGCAGUGGGGAAUUUUGGACAAUGGGCGGCAAGACCUGAUCCAGCCAUGCCGCGUGAGUGAAGAAGG